rnacentral:rRNA from 1 species
UACGGGGGGGGCAAGCGUUGUUCGGAAUUACUGGGCGUAAAGGGUUCGUAGGUGGCCAAUUAAGUCAGACGUGAAAUCCCUCAGCUCAACUGGGGAACUGCGUCUGAGACUGGAUGGCUUGAGUGCAGGAGAGGAACGCGGAAUUCCAGGUGUAGCGGUGAAAUGCGUAGAUAUCAGGAGGAACACCUGUGGCGAAAGCGGCUCACUGGACCAUAACUGACGCUGAUGCACGAAAGCCAGGGGAGCAAACGGG